rnacentral:rRNA from 1 species
UACGGAGGAUGCAAGCGUUAUCCGGAAUUAUUGGGCGUAAAGCGUCCGCAGGGGGCACUGUAAGUCUGCUGUUAAAGAGUCUAGCUCAACUAGAUAAAAGCAGUGGAAACUACAUAGCUAGAGUACGUUCGGGGCAGAGGGAAUUCCUGGUGUAGCGGUGAAAUGCGUAGAGAUCAGGAAGAACACCGGUGGCGAAGGCGCUCUGCUAGGCCGUAACUGACACUGAGGGACGAAAGCUAGGGGAGCGAAUGGG